GCCGUGCCUCAGCGGAAGAGCCUCUGCUUUCCAUGCAGAAGGACCUGGGUUCAGUCGCCAGCAUCUUCA
rnacentral:tRNA from 1 species